rnacentral:rRNA from 1 species
AUUGAACGCUGGCGGCAUGCUUUACACUUGCAAGUCGAACGGUAACAGGCCUUCGGGCGCUGACGAGUGGCGAACGGGUGAGUAAUGCGUCGGAACGUGCCCAGUCGUGGGGGAUAACGCAGCGAAAGUUGCGCUAAUACCGCAUACGAUCUAUGGAUGAAAGCGGGGGACCGUAAGGCCUCGCGCGAUUGGAGCGGCCGAUGUCAGAUUAGGUAGUUGGUGGGGUAAAGGCUCACCAAGCCGACGAUCUGUAGCUGGUCUGAGAGGACGACCAGCCACACUGGGACUGAAGAACGGCCCAGACUCCUACGGGAGGCAGCAGUGGGGAAUUUUGGACAAUGGGCGCAAGCCUGAUCCAGCAAUGCCGCGUGCAGGAAGAAGGCCUUCGGGUUGUAAACUGCUUUUGUACGGAACGAAACGGUCCUGGUUAAUACCCGGGGCUAAUGACGGUACCGUAAGAAUAAGCACCGGCUAACUACGUGCCAGCCGCCGCCGUAAUAC